rnacentral:rRNA from 1 species
AUUGAACGCUGGCGGCAUGCCUUACACAUGCAGGUCGAACGGCAGCAUGAUCUAGCUUGCUAGAUUGAUGGCGAGUGGCGAACGGGUGAGUAAUACAUCGGAACGUGCCCUGUAGUGGGGGAUAACUAGUCGAAAGAUUAGCUAAUACCGCAUACGACCUGAGGGUGAAAGUGGGGGACCGCAAGGCCUCAUGCUAUAGGAGCGGCCGAUGUCUGAUUAGCUAGUUGGUGAGGUAAAGGCUCACCAAGGCGACGAUCAGUAGCUGGUCUGAGAGGACGAUCAGCCACACUGGGACUGAGACACGGCCCAGACUCCUACGGGAGGCAGCAGUGGGGAAUUUUGGACAAUGGGCGAAAGCCUGAUCCAGCAAUGCCGCGCGUGUGAAGAAGGCCUUCGGGUUGUAAAGCACUUUUGUCCGGAAAGAAAUGGCUCUGGUUAAUACCUGGGGUCGAUGACGGUACCGGAAGAAUAAGGACCGGCUAACUACGUG